GGGGGCGUACCGGAAUCGACAGGGAAGUAAGCUUUGUAGUAAGCAUGCCGGAGCAUGAUGCGUUAUCUCCGUAAAAAUCUAAGCAUUAACCUUUCUUAGUUGGCAACACCAGCUAUGCUAUGGCAGCCUAAUUUAGGUUAGACUGUCUUCAUACGCCGUACAGUUGAGGCUCCAUACACAUUGUGCCGCGUUCACCCUUUUGGGGCUGGCCGCCGAUCCUGGUCUGAAUCGGCGGUGAGAUUAAGGACCUAAGGUGCUGUUUGAGAGGGUGACCAAUCUCCCCCAGCACUCGAAAACCUGACUGGUCAAUAAGCAUGUAGAAAGCUGCCUUGCGCUUUCGCUGGACGCGAGUUCGACUCUCGCCGCCUCCACCA
rnacentral:tmRNA from 1 species